rnacentral:lncRNA from 1 species
AAUAAAUAGAUCUCACAAACCUCAGAAAGCACACAUCUGAAAUCACAAUUUUAAAAUAUCCAUCCAAACCUGCAGUGACAGAGGACGCGGCGAGGAGCAACACCGGACGGCAAGACUGGAGCAGAGGAAGCGGCGGAGAAGAGCAAAGAAGCAAGCAGACCAGCGGACGCAGGAACCGGACGCAGAACGACGUUGACAGCGUGGAGCAGAGGAACGAUCGGCGGGAGGCGCACGGCUGUACCAGACGAGUGACGGAGAGGCCGAAUGGGGGAGGGGAGGGCGGUAGUAGACUUGAGAGUUGAGAGAGAUUUAGGGUUGGGAUUUAAGGGUUCUUUUGAUAGUAGGUUUGUUUAUUUAGGUUUAUUUUUUAUCUUUCAAUUAAGAUUUUAUUUUUAUAGUUUAUAUUAUUUAAAAUGUUUUAUACUAUAUGUUUAUUAAUUUUGUCUUUAAUGGUAUAAUUUUUUUAAAGAUAAAUAAUAUAGUUUUAUUGUAUUAAAAUAUUAUACUGUAUUAAUUUACAAUAACAAUAUUUUAAAUUAUUUUUUAAAAUAAAUUGUACUAAAAAUAAGAAUAUACGUAAAAUUAUAAAAAAAAUAUUUUAACAGUAUAUUUAAUCUUAAUUUAAAAUUUUAAAUAAAAUAAAAUUUAAUUAAAAAUUAAAUUAAAAUUUUAAAAAUAAAAUGGUCGCUAAUUGGUCGCUGAUUGGUCGCUGUUUAGCGACUAAACUAAUUAGUCGCUAAAUAUGAUCGCAAAUUAUAACAUUAUAUUCCCACUCAAAAAAUACUCGCAAUUUCGUCGCAAAUAUGGUCACAAAUAUCUUGCGCCACUAAUUCCUGCUAAAUUUAGCGACGAUUUAAUAUUUGGUCGCUAAAUAGCGACCAAAUAACGACAAAUUUUUGGUCGUUGAGUUUUUUAUUAAAUAAAAAUAUUAUUUUAUUCAUGUAGUAGCAGAAUGGUCGCUGAUUGGUUGCUAUAUAGCAACCAAAAAUUUUAGUCGCUAAUCUUGGUCGCAAUUUCACAGUUUUUUUGUAGUGUUAUAAGAUUUACAAUGAAACAUAAAGACUCAACCAUCUAGAGAAGAAGGAACGUAAACCGUAAAUUUGCAAGCCAAGUGAGCCAAGUUCAGCAAUCUAAUAACCUAAUCAGCAAAUCAAUACAAAAGUCUUCCUACGUCCCCAUUUUCUCCAAUAUAAUGACGCACGUACCAGGCUUUUGACCGUAGGCAAAAGGAACUAAAACCAAGAAGCUAAUACCAUGUCCCUCCAAAAUUAAGCACACCUUCGUUCUGC